UUAAAGCUCGUUACUCUUUAUACUGUUAUUGUUUUUUAUUAAAUAAUAGUUCAUUUAACAUUUAAUGUUUCUUGCUCCAAGGAACACAAGAUUUGUGCUUUUAUUGCCUUAAUGGGACACCAUUUGUACCUCAUUCAUAUAAAGUGUCACUGUGUUUUCCUUUAUCCUUCCUGAAUUUUUCAUUCACCGUGUACUGUGCAUUUUCUCGUUCUAUCUUGCUGCAGAAUAGCACACUUCAGUAGCCCUUCAGAAAGCUGUCAGACUCCACCCUGGUGCUGCGUCCUUCUGAUUUAAAGCGAGAGGGAGAGGCAGAGGACAAUGCAGGAGAAACGGCAUGGAAAGUCUCGGUCUCCAUGGUGUUCGGAGGAGCAGUAGCAGGUGUGGAUUGGACCUGUUUUUCUCCUGUUCUCAUCUCUGUCUCGAUCCUCCUCCAUCUUUCAUGCUGUUGAACUGGAUGGAUGUUGGUUCAUUGUGAGCGUCCCUCUGAUUCUCUCGCUGUGUUCCUCCCGCUGUCACAUCGAACAGGCCCAGCAGCAUCUGUCCACGUUCACUUUCAGUUCAUGGAAAAAGCAGCAUGAACCUUCUAUUAAACGUCUCCUUUUGCGUUCCAUGCAAGAAAGAAAGUCCUGCGGGUUUGGACCGACAUGAAGCAUUACAGGGCUCUGGUGCUGGAGUCGGUUCAUCUGUAGGCAGGAGAGGAGCGUGUCAAAGCAUCAGCAGAUGGUGAACAGCAUCAAAAGAGCCGCUGCUGUCAUCAGAGAUCAGAGGCCGCGACACUGACCAAACGGCAUAAGUGAAGAGCAUGAGGAGUCAAACAAAGCUCGUUUUCUGAGACGUGCAGAUGGAGGGGUCAGAAUCUGGCAGAGACGGCUUGAAAACAUGGACCCGACCA
ensembl:lncRNA